UGUAAACUCAUCAAAACAGUAAGUGCAGCAUACUAUCAACUCUCAGCUCUUGAAGUUUCUGAUUAUGUCUGUGGCUUUAAGACUGUUUUUUUUAGUAAGUUGUCAAACAGUAUAUAAAAUAAGUGGGAUUGAAAAGAGAUUAAAACACAUCUCCCCAAGGCGGUACACGAAGGUUUGCUCUUUGCUGAUUUAACUUUUGUCUCCAGAAAUUCUGUUUCUGCAUGUAAGUGGGUUUUUUUUGUUUGUUUGUUUGUUUUUUUUUAAUUUCCUAAGAUCUUUCUAAUCAAUGAACGUGGUGUAUGAACAGUACCCUACAUGAGAUUUGGACAAACUGAAUGACACCACUGCUCCUCUUAGCUGCUGUUAAUGGAAAUGAUUUCCAACAGAAAAUACCUGAAACAAAUUGCCACAACAGUCGGAGGGUGAGCAGUGUAUCAGACAGAAGUUGGCUGUUUUUCGAGUGCAGUUAGUGCUUCUGAGCACCUUGUGGAAAUUUUACUGUCUCACAGUCAAGUCUUUCUAAAACUGAGUCUCAUUAAAAGCCCAUGAAAACAAUUGCUGUUCUAUAUCUGUGAAUAUUCAGAAAGAUUUUUUUUUCCUUUUUUUUGUUGACUGUGAUUGAUAACAUUAAGAGAAGAAAAUAUUUUUAUCCUGAAAGUAUAAAUGAGGGCAUAAAUAAGUUUAGAGAGGUCCAAAUCCUGGCAUACUUUUCAGGCAAAGUUGCCAUCAAAAUCUGACUGAAGUAGUAGAGCAGAAGGUGUUUAGCCCUUCAAAUGAUUUGAGUUUUCGAAAGAGCUCUGACUAGCUUAGUAUUAUACCACCUUAAGCCACUGGCAUUGGUGUUUAAUACUGUUCUCCCUUCAGUUCUGGCUGUGACCUGGUUGUCCUAGACGAUAACUGUCACCCUGAACUUGACAGAUCAUUGGAGUUUUUGUGAGUCUACUUCAGGAAGAGAGUGGCUGGAUAGCAGUGAUAGUACACUUUGACUGGAGAUUUCCUGGCUAACACCGACCUAGACAUGACUGGAUGUCCUGCAAAGUGAUGAAUUAUUACUUAAGAUAAGUAAGCCUUGUGAUGACUUCCUUCUGCCUUGGGCACCAAAGUCUUGAUGGGAUGCACAAGAAAAAUGUCUUGCCUUGGAGAGAAUCAUCCAAGUAAGGAUCUAAGAUUAGUAAAGGAUGAAGUACACAUAAGAGAGAAGCACUGCUGCCGGGUCAACAUCCUCUAUCUGGGAUGGAAGCAAAAGCUUGCAUGAGAAAGGACUUACAUCCGUUCAUGUGGUGAGCAGGAAGUUUGUCCUGGAGGAUUCAGAUCUCUGGAACCCAUAUCCUGAGGAAACCUGGAUCAAGAACAAGCUACAGCUUUCUUGCAGCUGUGGUGGUGUCUUUUUAUGCGAUACCACUAGAAGUUUUAUAUUUUCUGUGGCCUUUGAGGCUUCACCCUACUACUUCUGUACUUCUCCGAGUGUACUUUCUAUCCAAUCUUUCUUUCUUUAAUCUAGGAGUUGUUUUAGUGGCUUAUUCCAAAUUUACAUACAUAUGAUUCUACAUAUAACACUUGGACAAUAGAAUACCUGGCCUGAAGGUAUGGAUACUUCUUCAAUAUGAUGUGUUCCUGAAGCUGACACUGCUCUAAAGCUGUAGUGGAAAUAUAGUGAUUUAAAUUCUCUUCAGCUCUGUACUUUAGCCAUUCAUUGAAUGCCACAAUCUAGAUUAGAAGUGUAUAUGCAGGGCAUUAACUGCAAAAGAAACUGUUGUAAUAUCAGCGUGCUGCUGAACUGGAAAGGUUGAGAUGGUUAGUAAAGCAAGUUGCACUAGAAAGACCAUUGAUCAUAUUUAGCAGCUGUUUUACAAAUAGAAAGCUAGAAACUUGUGCCCAGUCUUUCAAAAUAUCUGCGACUGCUUUUUUUUCUUUUUCUUUUUUUUUCUAAAAAAAGUCCCAUUAAAGUUACUGAGGAUUUGCAUUUUUAAAAAAAUUGUUUAAUGGAGGGAGGUAUCUCUAAAAGCUACAUAUAAGAAAAGUCCUGAUGUUCUUUAAGUUAUCAGGCCAUCAAAAAGAACAUGAAAUCCACACUUUUUGUUUGGAGACAGCACCAUAGAAACAAUUUGGUUUUUCCUCCCUCUCUUCCAUCUCUCUAUAGUCAUCAUCUCCAACUCUUUCCUUCCAUUUCCCUUCAACGAGCUUUUUCUGUGCACCCUCCUAACAAAUUUUGGCUCACCUUAGAAAGUGAACCUUACUCUGCAGCAAGUUUGGUCUGCUCAUGCUGCCAGUUUUCUGCCACCACUGCUUAAUCAUGCAACUUCCUCCUCUGCAACUUGUCUGUCCUGUUCAUCCAAAUCUUUUCACUCAGAGCAGCAAUAGUGUUUUGAUUAACUGGUGUGCUGGCAGAGAUUACUAAAGGUAUCUGUCUGGAUGCUGCUGUGAUAUGCACGUGGGUCUGAUAUCUUUAACUUCUGCUACACUGCUUUGUUGUUUGCUUAUUUGUUUAAAAUGCUUCUCUGUUAUAUUUGCAGGGAUGAAAAAUAAACUAACAGGCAUCCAGCUCUGAAACUGUGUUGGUGUUGGUGGGGGAGGGCUGCCCACUUGAAAACAAGCAAGAAGUCUUACAAAUAUUUGGACUGAUUAAUUCACCAGCUUUUCUUUACAGAACUCUUUUGUAAUAAUAAAGCCAUUCAUUGACCAA